ensembl:snRNA U2 U2 spliceosomal RNA
UGUGCUUCUCAGCCUUUUGGCUAAGAUCAAGUGUAGUAUCUGUUCUUAUCAGUUUAAUAUCAUAUAUAGUUUGUUUCAUUUUAUCCUUCAAAACAAAGACAAU